CUGCAUGGCGUUGAUAUUUUAUUCUAACUUUUUUCUUAAGGCAGGGGAAAGCAGUUUAUUAGAGACUGAUUUGUCUCUGAGAACUUCCUCACUUUGGGCCAUGCAGAUGGCAGACCUAGCUAUGUAUCUCAGCUUGUGUGAGCCCUCAUGUAACACAACCAUAUGGAGUCAAAUAGAAAGCUUCAGAUUUGCAAGUCAGAACUGAACAAACCUGGCUUGUGGAGUGGGAUUUAGCAGUUUUCCUCUCCUUUUAAGUUAUUCCCUGUGGGAGGCCAGCAAUCUCUUCAAUGAACUCCCUUGAGCUUACCAGAUACCACUGAGGAAAUGCGGGGUGCAAGGUACAAGGCACGGGGAGGGCCCAGGUGCAGGGGGCUGUCGGGCAAACACAGCCUGGCCCACACUCUGCCCUGACGUUCACCUCUUCUGUGUCAGGGCUCCAGCUCCUUCACAGAGGGAUCACUAGUGCCUUCUCUCUUACCUGCUGCAACUGGAGUAGGAUAUCAUUUGUAGAAAAUGGAACUGAUCGCUCUGUCUUCUGAGAAGAGCUGUACUCACUCUCUUGUUCCCCAAUUCUGAGGCUUUUGUUUGCUUUUCUAGAGUGGCAGCCCCGGGCACUGGUCAAAAGGUGUGUGUUUAAAUGAAAAUGUCAGAAGUGUGAGCAUGGAGGAGAGGAAAUAACUGUCCAUUGCAUUUAGAGCAACUCUAUUUUUAUGGAAAUGACUCUUCCCAAAAUAUCUCUGUCUCCUCAGCUGGUUUAGUCAGCUCAGACUGUGGUAACAAAAUACCGAAGACUGGGUGACUUAAAGAACAGAAACUUAUUUUCUCACCGUUCUGGAGGCUGGAAGUCCAAGACCAGGGGGCCAGCGUGGUCGGCUUCGGGUGAGACUUCUCUACCUGGUUUGCCAGCUUUGUCGAUGCUGGCCAUCUCAGUGUGUGCUCACAUGACCUCUUCUUUGGAGAGAGAGGAAGCAAGCUUUCUGGUGUGUCUUCCGAUAAGACAUGAUUCCCAUGAGCCCAACUCCCAUGACCUCAUUUAAACGUGUACACCCCCCAAAGGCCCCGUCUCCAAACACCAUCACAUUGUGGGUUAGGGCUUCACCAUAUGAACUGGCAGGUGGGGGGACACAAUUCAGUCCAUGGCAUCACGCAGUAGUAUUACUGUGGCAAUGUUCAUAAGGCUGAGACAAAGAGAGCCACUGUCUGGCCAAAAAGGUUGACACGAAGAGUAUCAGUACUUCAGUCCAUGAUGGAGCAAAUGUCUGUUCUUAUCCCUGUAUUUCACACACGCCCACACCCUGUCACACCCAGGUUGGACUUGAAGAGAGAGAGAUCACAGGAGAAAGUGCUGGGUCAGGGAUUAAGUAGAAAAGUAACAACUUUCAGGAUGUUCAUGGUGUCAACAUUCUCUUGGCUUUUCUACUGUACUUUCCACCUUUACGGUUAACAGGGACUAAUCACCGAUUUCAGAAUGAUGAAUUGGCCCACAGGGGAGCUUCAUUCACCAAGAAGUUUUCAGUUAUAUUCUAAAUACCAAAGAGAGAACUAAUUUUCAGAAGAUUUCUAAUGACUGGAGUGAAAAAUUAUUCAUUAUUGAAUGCUUUUGGGAGGUGGACUGAGAUUUCCAUUUUACAGUAGAAAAACUGUAAGCUUCUUCAAGGUCAUUAGAAGAGAUCUGAAUUAUCAACUGAAGCAUGAACUACACAUUACAGAAAAUUGAAAACACCUCCCCCAGAGGCACCUCCAGAUUUUAGCGAAAUCUGCUCAUUUCCAAGUCCCUGUGAUGGAUCAGAGGCAUUCAGAUCUCUGCAAAGACGUCAGAGAAGGAAAAACAAUAAAGUGUCUGCAUUGAUGUCACCGUGAUGAUUUCCAGUGCACAUGAGCUCUGGGCAGCUUUCAUAUUUCUGCAGGUUGAUGACAAGGAAGAAUAUAUAAGGGUUGCAGAAAACAGAAACCAACUCCAGCUAGCUAGCAUGAAAGGGAUUUAUUGAUGGGACACUCGAGUUCUGAAAUCUAAGAAUUAAAAUAACCAGUCUUUGGAUGGGCCAGAUCCAGGCAACACCAGGGACCUCAGAAAAAGAAAAAUCAUGGACCUCUUGUCUAGAACACUGACAUCCAUAUUUCUCAUUUUUAGUGACCUGCAGUGUCAGAUGGACCAGCUCUGGCCAAAAAGGUAGGGUUGUGUGGUAUACACAUGGUUGCUGGAGGCCCCUCUUCUGUAUCAGGGGCAACAAGGGUAGGGGAAUAUUGGGAGCUAAGACAUUUUUAAGGCUUUAAUGAGGUGUAAUUGUCAUAUAGUAAACCGCAU